CCAAUCAGGUUCGAGUGGGCGGGGCUUGCCUUGGAUCGGUUCUACUUGGAGCAGAGGAGCGUCAUCAGACAGGCUGUUUCUUCUUCUUCUUCUUCUUCUUCUCCUUCUCCUCACACAUCGAGCAAGCAGACCAUGUCCCGUUACGAUCCACAGGGUGCAACUAUGGAGGAAAUGGACUUUGAGCAGCGCCGAGAGAUGAGGCGGCAGAAACGUGAGGAGAUGCGCCUGGAGGCUGAACGGAUGUCAAAGAACGACGAUGACGAGGAGGAGGCGGCCCGUGAGAGGAGGCGCCGGGCCCGCCAGGAGAGAAUGAGGAGCAGGGAAGCCGAGGAGACGAGUAGCCAGCCUGACAGCCUGGUCAUGAUCAACAGCCACAGUGUUACAGAAGGCGACUCCGUAAGCAGCUCCUACCGAGGCGGCAACGACGACAGCGAAGACCAAGCCCUGCUGGACCGCAUGGCUAAGAGAGAGGAGCGGCGCCAGCGUCGUAUGAAGGAGGCGCUGGAGAGGCAGAGGCAGCUGGACGCUGAGAUGGAAGGUCAGCCAGAUCCCGACAACGACGGCAGCUCUGCGGAGAAGAGCAAAAAGUACAAGGAGGAGGAGGAGGAGAGGCCAUCAUCCUGGCGCCGGGCUCGUUACCGUGAUGGCGAGGAAGAGGAGAAGGAGGUAGUGGUGACAAGAGAGGAAGAAGAGGCUGCUCCUGAAGAGGAGAGGAUGACGGAGAAAAGAAGUUACCUAAGAGAAGAGGAGCUCACGGAAGAAAGAAGUCAUUCGCUAGUCAGUUCAAAUCAGGCCGAGUCAGCAGAUGUAGUGGCUGAAGAGGCACUCGAGGGCGAUUAUGUAGACAGCGCCUCGGGGAGCAAGCGUAUGGUGCAGAGAAAUGACAGUGAAGCGGACAAAGAGGUGUGUGAGAUACUGCACUCGCACGAGGACAAUGAGCUGACUGAGCCAAGCAGGAGCGUGGAGGUUCGCGAGGAGCAGAGGAAGCAGAACGGAGGUCUGCAUGAGGACGAGGAGGAGGCCACUCCAAAACAGUACAGGAAACCCGAGAGGACACUCAGUCGAGGCAGCAUGCGUUCAACCGAGGGGUCGGUGGCUGACGAAGAUGACGACGAUGCGGCCGCCCGUCUGGAGGCCGAGCGCAAGCUGGAGGAGCUGAAACGGCGCCGCGACGAUGCUGAGAGCGAGGAGUUCGAGCGCAUGCGGCAGAAGCAACAGGAGGCCGAAGCCGAGCUGGAGGAGCUGAAGCGGAAGCGGGAGGAGAGGAGGAAGGUGCUGGAGGAGGAGGAGAGACAGAAGAAGCAGGAGGAGGCUGACAGGAAGGCCAGAGAGGAGGAGGAGAAGAGGAAGAUGAAGGAGGAGAUUGAGCGGAGGAGGGCGGAGGCAGCAGAGAAGAGACAGAAGGUGGAAGACACGGUGGACGGCGAGGACAAACCCUUCAAGUGUGUCAGCCCUCGAGGCUCCUCCCUCAAGAUUGGAGAGCGAGCAGAGUUUCUCAACAAGUCGGCACAGAAAAGCACUGUGAAGACAUCUCUCUCUCCCGUGGUGUCCAAGAUCGACAACAGGUUGGAGCAGUACACCUCAGCCGCUCAGAGAGAGAACAAGGAGUCCCGAUCUCCUCGCUCGGGCACCGUGGACCUCCCCGUGGUCACCGACAGCAUACGGAACAUCAAGAGCAUGUGGGAGAAAGGCAACGUGUGCAGCACACCGGGAAGUGGCGGCAGCAGCGCCCUCAAGGAAGCAGCUGUCAUAAAGACGGGUGUGGCGGGCCGCAUCAACGACUGGCUGAAUAAAACCCCGGAGAGCGGCAAAGCAUCGGGAGGAAGGCCAUUGGACCUGAAGCCUGUGGACGUGACCAAUAAGAGGAGUUUAUGGGAAAACAAAGGCUCCUCUGUACCCAAGAACUCAUAGCUAAUUGAUAUCGUCAUUAAAAUGUGGGGAAAGCCUGAAGAGGUGGCGGGCAGAAGCGACACCAAAUCAGUCACUAAUGGUAUGGGCCACUAAAGUCGGCAAGGAGCCUUUCAAAUCCAGGACCACGACAAUCUCAAGACUUUGGCUUGACCACCAAAUAAUGACCACGAUCCCAAAGAGGGAGAGGAGGGACGCCUUCUCAGCGUCUCACGUUUUGUUUGUCGGCCCCUUUAGGUGCCUUUGCACAUUUCUAUUUCCUUUCUAAAAAAAGAAACCAAAUGCUGUGAAGAUUGGACUAUUUCUCCAUCCAUCCUGCCAGGGCGCAAAAUGAAUUCAGCAGUUUGUUAGAAAACUCCUUCAAUUCCAUCGGCCAUCUUUUUUUUUUCUUUUUUUUUAAUUUAUAUUUCAAGCAAAAGCUUCACACAUUUUGGUAUUAUUUGACAAGCAACCACUUGAGGAUAGAACUAUAAGCACUUGUAGAGCUUAGUCACAUUGUACAAUGGUCUGAUCCUAUCAUAUCUUUAUUAUAUAACAUCCUUUAUACUCACAAUUUUUUUCUUUUGUACUCAUCCACAAGCAGUGUUGGCUACACAGCGAGAAUUAUUUAUGUUGAAAUCUUCACACAUUCCUCUUGAAAGCACGUGAUGCCUUCGCUGCUUCAGACGUUGACGUAUAGAUCACGUAGGAAGCAAACUUGAACGCCGAGUCAGGGUGCCUACACUUAAGUACUUUAUCUGGCCUUAGGAUUGCAAUGAUGACAGCUGAGGUACUCAAACGCCUCACUUUUGAAGGAAGUGUUUACGAUUUGUUCUUCUUACAUCUCUGCUCCCGAGUCAAGACAAUCACAUUCCAUACGCUUCCUGAUAAAAAGAGCAAGGGGGGAGGGGGGGUCUGGACCAAAAUUCUAUAGUUUUUAUUUUAUUACAUUUUUUACAAGCUUUUUUUUUGUUUUGUUUUUGUUUGAUCGUAUUUAACCAGACACUUUGUGUAGGCUCCGCAACGCUACAACACACACUUUGCUAAUUAGUGUGUGUGUGUGUGUACAUGUACACAAUGUCACGCAAAUGGACACCUUCCAACUGGAUGAAUGUCAACAUUGUACUCUUUGACAGCAACAACAGUAAUAAACACAAUGAUCUUUCAAA